rnacentral:rRNA from 1 species
AUUGAACGCUGGCGGCAGGCUUAACACAUGCAAGUCGAGCGGGGUGAUGGUGCUUGCACUAUCACUUAGCGGCGGACGGGUGAGUAAUGCUUAGGAAUCUGCCUAUUAGUGGGGGACAACAUCUCGAAAGGGAUGCUAAUACCGCAUACGUCCUACGGGAGAAAGCAGGGGAUCACUUGUGACCUUGCGCUAAUAGAUGAGCCUAAGUCGGAUUAGCUAGUUGGUGGGGUAAAGGCCUACCAAGGCGACGACCUGUAGCGGGUCUGAGAGGAUGAUCCGCCGCACUGGGACUGAGACACGGCCCAGACUACUACGGGAGGCAGCAGUGGGGAGUAUUGGACAAUGGGGGGAACCCUGAUCCAGCCAUGCCGCGUGUGUGAAGAAGGCCUUAUGGUUGUAAAGCACUUUAAGCGAGGAGGAGGCUCUUUUGGUUAAUACCCAAGAUGAGUGGACGUUACUCGCAGAAUAAGCACCGGCUAACUCUGUGCCAGCCGCCGCCGUAA